UACGUAGGGUGCGAGCGUUAAUCGGGAUUACUGGGCGUAAAGUGUGCGCAGGCGGUUGAGCAAGUCGAGUGUGAAAGCCCCGGGCUUAACUUGGGAAUUGCGCUCGAAACUACUUGACUGGAGUGUGGCAGAGGAAGGUGGAAUUCCACGUGUAGCGGUGAAAUGCGUAGAGAUGUGGAGGAACACCAAUGGCGAAGGCAGCCUUCUGGGCCAACACUGACGCUCAUGCACGAAAGCGUGGGGAGCAAACAGG
rnacentral:rRNA from 1 species